rnacentral:rRNA from 1 species
AGUGAACGCUGGCGGCGUGCUUAACACAUGCAAGUCGAACGAGAACGGAUUAUAGCUUGCUAUAAUUGUCAGCUAAGUGGCGCACGGGUGAGUAAUGUAUAGGUAAUAUGCCUCUUACUAAGGGAUAACAAAUGGAAACGUUUGCUAAUACCUUAUACUCCUUAUUAACAGAAGUUAAUAAGGGAAAGAUUUAUUGGUAAGAGAUUAGCCUGUAUUGUAUCAGUUAGUUGGUGGGGUAAUGGCUUACCAAGACUAUGACACAUAACUGGUUUGAGAGGAUGAUCAGUCACACUGGAACUGAGACACGGUCCAGACUCCUACGGGAGGCAGCAGUGAGGAAUAUUGGUCAAUGGGCGAGAGCCUGAACCAGCCAUCCCGCGUGCAGGAAGAAGGCCCUAUGGGUUGUAAACUGCUUUUGUGCAUGAAGAACACCCCGCUCGAGAGCGGGGCUGACGGUAAUGCGUGAAUAAGCACCGGCUAACUACGU